rnacentral:tRNA from 1 species
GGGCUCAUGAUCUAGUGGCUAUGAUGUCACCUUGACGUGGUGAAUGUCGUCGGUUCAAGUCCGGCUGGGCCCA